rnacentral:snoRNA from 8 species
ACGACUAUACUUUCAGGGAUCAUUUCUAUAGUUCGUUACUUGAGAAAUGUGUGCCUAAAGUGAUAGGUCUCGCUAUCCAUGAUGACGAUACAAGAUA